rnacentral:misc_RNA from 1 species
UUUUCCAAGUAUCAAAAACGGUAUCUAUGCAUAAGCCUUUCAUCCCCCAAGAACUUUUGAGAAUCAUUGUUCAAAACAGUGAUAGCUAUGAUGUCCAUAAUCAAGUUUUCCAAGGAACUGAAAAAUAUUUGACAAACUAUGCUCCACUCCGUGCUCGAGGGUCUCGGCCAAGAGGUAUCAUGAGAUCCUUCAUAACCUCAUACUCUUCUGCAUUUAUCUGGGCACCAUCAAGGAGCUGGUGAAGCAUCAUCCUCCUAUUAGUCAUGUAUGAAGUGAGUGCUGGAAUCCUACAUACAGAUAGAGCCUCAACCAAGAGAAAUGCUAUGACUUGCCAUUGUUUCAUUCUGAAUGCAGGAAUUGCAUCAUAAAAGGACAUUGUAUCCAACAAGCGCCCCACUCCUUGCUCCAGUGUAGAUAUUGGUAUCGGCAACCUAAGAUCAGCAACAAGUCCAGGUAAAGCCCGAGCAAGACAACCCUCAACAGUAAGCUUGAUUUCAGAAGAACGGCCAUCUCUCAAGACAACCUUUCGAGGGUACUCCCUUCCAUUAACAGAUAAAUAAUCUUCAUGGGAACUUUCAUCGUCUCUCCCAUAUACAUAAGCCAAAGAAGAUGAAGUUACCCAUGCAAAGAGUGCCAUCCACAUUGUCGCAAAAGGGGAUAACGACAAACUGAAUCCUUCUGGUGGAGCAUCAUACCAUGAAUCCUCAGGGUCAAACAAAUCUGAAUGUGGAAUCCCUGGCCUUGUUGGCCACUUAAGAGAAGCAGAUUCUUGUUCAAGCAUGCCAACACUCUCUAUAUCAUGUGGAUGUGGUAAUAUGAUGAC